rfam:Sarcophilus harrisii ctg7180002460825, whole genome shotgun sequence.
UAAAAGGCUCUUUUCAGAGCCACCUACCCAGUCCUAAAGAGAGCUCU